rnacentral:tRNA from 1 species
UCCCUGGUGGCUCAGAUGGUAAAGAAUCUGUCUGCAGUGUAGGAGACCCAGGUUCAAUCCCUGGGUUGGGAA